GCCAGGCUUUGGAUGCACUAAA
rnacentral:miRNA from 1 species